GUAGGGGCCAUUUUGAGGGAGACCCGGUUGGUGGUUUUAGGCUUCCUUAGAUUUUUCUCCAAGAGAAUUCCGGUUAGCUGUUUAUUUUGUAUGAGGUUUUCAGAUGAAGAUUCAAAAUUCAAGACCGAUCGGAGGAUUUCUGGGCGUAGAAUUCAAUACUGAACUUGAACUCUGUUUUGAGACAGAGUUGAGAGAAAUGAUUUCGGUGGUGGAGAGAGAGAGAAAGAGA
rnacentral:misc_RNA from 1 species